rnacentral:rRNA from 1 species
CAUGGGCUCAGGAUGAAACGCUGGCGGCGUGCUUAACACAUGCAAGUCGAACGAUGAAGGGGAGCUUGCUCCUGGAUUAGUGGCGAACGGGUGAGUAACACGUGAGUAACCUGCCCUUGACUCUGGGAUAAGCCUGGGAAACUGGGUCUAAUACCGGAUAUGACCUUCCAUCGCAUGGUGGUUGGUGGAAAGCUUUUGUGGUUUUGGAUGGACUCGCGGCCUAUCAGCUUGUUGGUGAGGUAAUGGCUUACCAAGGCGACGACGGGUAGCCGGCCUGAGAGGGUGACCGGCCACACUGGGACUGAGACACGGCCCAGACUCCUACGGGAGGCAGCAGUGGGGAAUAUUGCACAAUGGGCGCAAGCCUGAUGCAGCGACGCCGCGUGAGGGAUGACGGCCUUCGGGUUGUAAACCUCUUUCAGUAGGGAAGAAGCCGCAAGGUGACGGUACCUGCAGAAGAAGCGCCGGCUAACUACGUGCCAGCAGCCGCGGUAAUACGUAGGGCGCAAGCGUUAUCCGGAAUUAUUGGGCGUAAAGAGCUCGUAGGCGGUUUGUCGCGUCUGCCGUGAAAGUCCGGGGCUCAACUCCGGAUCUGCGGUGGGUACGGGCAGACUAGAGUGAUGUAGGGGAGACUGGAAUUCCUGGUGUAGCGGUGAAAUGCGCAGAUAUCAGGAGGAACACCGAUGGCGAAGGCAGGUCUCUGGGCAUUAACUGACGCUGAGGAGCGAAAGCAUGGGGAGCGAACAGGAUUAGAUACCCUGGUAGUCCA